AUUGAACGCUGGCGGAAUGCUUUACACAUGCAAGUCGAACGGCAGCACGGGGGCAACCCUGGUGGCGAGUGGCGAACGGGUGAGUAAUACAUCGGAACGUGCCCAGUCGUGGGGGAUAACGUAACGAAAGCUACGCUGAUACCGCAUACGAUCUACGGAUGAAAGCGGGGGAUCGCGAGACCUCGCGCGAUUGGAGCGGCCGAUGGCAGAGUAGGUAGUGGGUGGGGUAAAGGCUCCCCAAGCCAACGAUCUGUAGCUGGUCUGAGAGGACGACCAGCCACACUGGGACUGAGACACGGCCCAGCCUCCUACGGGAGGCAGCAGUGGGGAAUUUUGGACAAUGGGCGCAAGCCUGAUCCAGCCAUUCCGCGUGCAGGAUGAAGGCCCUCGGGUUGUAAACUGCUUUUGUACGGAACGAAACGGCGCUUUCUAAUACAGAGCGCUAAUGACGGUACCGUAAGAAUAAGCACCGGCUAACUACGUGCCAGCCGCCGCCGUAACAC
rnacentral:rRNA from 1 species